rnacentral:lncRNA from 1 species
AGAGGGAUAAACGAAAAUGCAUUCCCACCUUCCCAACAUUAAUUAAUCUUUUCUUUUAUUAUAAAUAUUAAACUUAUUUCUUUCCAUCAGAUUCCACCCAAAAAACAAAUACAAUAAUACAACAUAAACUGAAUAAUCAUUGUAAAUUUUCUAAUUAUUAUUUUAUUCUAAUGGUAGGUAAUUAUUUAUUGUCACUUGAGACAGAUUUUGUAAAGUAAGGAAUUUAAGAGCUUAAAAUUAGCUCAACUAUAGAUUAAACAAAUUUAUAAAAAUAUAUUUCUGUACAAACCCCUUCUUUUUUCCCCCAUUUCAUACCCAUUUCAAAGCUCAAAUUCCAAAUUAACAAAUUGGAAAAAUCAUAAUUCUCCAUCUUCUUCUUCCUCCUCAUCUUGUUCUUUCCCAUUUCUUAUUUUCCUGGCUUUCAUGUUCUCUGUUUUCAACGUCUGUUUUCAAGGUUUUCUGCACCUCAAGGAAAUUUAAGCUUAAAGUUUAAUUCUUUUCCAGAUUGAAAAACUGUUUGUAAGUUUGGAAGUUGGAAUUUUGUUUUCCCAUUUCUGGGUUUCAGAGAAUUUGUGCUUUUAAUUUUGUGAAAAAAUUUCAGCAGAAACAUCAAAUGGGUUUCUUCUGAAAAACUGAGGAAAAAGAUUUUUCAGUGAAGCAGGGGAAUUCCUCAGGGUUUAAGGAAAUGGAAGUUAGAGAAGCAGUUACUAGUGUUGGUGGGGUUACAGUAGUGGGAUCCGAUGCUCCGUCCAACUACCAUAUAGCUCCAAGGACGACAGAUCAACCCACCAACCCCACUCCUCCUGGAUCCACGGCGCUUCCACACCCUCAUGUGCGGCGCUUCCACAGCCGCAUGUAUCGGCCGGAGUUCUGCCGGCGACCUUGAUUCUCGGGAAGAAAAAGCGAGGCCGGCCAAGGAAGUACCGGCCAGAUGGAAGUGCCGCCAAGCCACUGUCGCCAAAGCCCAUCUCCUCUGCAGCUCCGGCACCGCCACCUGUCAUCGAUUUCUCCGCCGAGAAGCGCCCUAAAGUGGAGCCGGUCGCCAAAAAGUAUGAACCGCCGGCCGAGAAAUUUGGUGAGUUAGACAAAUUUCGAGCU